UUAUUCUCGGAUUUGUCAAUGAAAGCUGGAAAAGCCAAUAAGUAGGCAGUAGAGAAAAUAAGAUGGGACAUCCUGCAGGGAAAGGAGUUGGGGAGCCAAGAGGAGGGAGAAAGAAGACAUCAUGGGAGUUCAGCUGGACUACAAAAGGUCCUAAAGAAAGAGACAGCCUGAUUUACGUACAAGAAAGAGCAACCUGGCUGCACUUUGGAGGCUAAACCAUGGAGUCCAGGACAGAGGCAAGAGGGCUGAUUAGAAUAUCAUUGCAGUGAUCCAGCCGUGUUUGAAGGAAGAUCCUUUUCUGCCAACUCCAGUUCCUUUGAAAUCUCAGGCAUUCUCAGCCACUGUCUCCUAUCUAGUCUCAUUCCACCACUGUCCCAAUUAUGAGAUAACCGUAGCACCAUCUGCAAUGCAGCAGAGUUGUAUUUCCAUGGAAACCAUCCCUGAC
ensembl:lncRNA